CAGUUCGGAUUGUAGUCUGCAACUCGACUACAUGAAGCUGGAAUCGCUAGUAAUCGCAGAUCAGAAUGCUGCGGUGAAUACGUUCCCGGGUCUUGUACACACCGCCCGUCACACCAUGGGAGUCGGAAAUGCCCGAAGCCGGUGACCAAACCAAUAAGGAAGGAGCCGUCGAAGGCAGGUCUGAUAACUGGGGUGAAGUCGUAACAAGGUACC
rnacentral:rRNA from 1 species